UUCCACUGAUGACUUCUGUUUAGUGCCACGUGUCUGGGCCACUGAGACCACAUGAUGGGACUGAGGAUCUGAGGAA
ensembl:snoRNA